AUACCUGCACUGAAGCAACAGUCAUCUUUAAGCCAAAUAGGCGGAGAGAAAUGACUUCUUCAAAGUAUUCAGACAGGGUCUCACUCCGUCACCCAGGCUGGAGUACAGUGGCACAAUCUCGGUUCUCUGCAACCUCCAUCGCCCAGGCUCAAGUGAUCCCCCCACCUCAACCUCCCAAGUAGCUGGGAUUACAAGCCUGCACCUCUAUGCCCAGCUAAUUUUUGUGUUUUUAGUAGAGACAAGGUUUUGCCAUGUUGGCCAGGCUGGUCUCGAACUCCUGACCUCAGGUGAUCCAAAAGCCUUGGCCUCCCCAAGUGCUGGGAUUACAGGCUUGAGCCACCACACCUGGCCAAUUAUUUUAUUAAGCCAGAUGAAUCUAGCUCUGGACAGUUAUAAGCAAAGAAAAACUAACGGAAAAAUACAGAGGCCUGAAGAAUCACAGAGGGAAACUCAUUUGUUCCUCUGGCAGCUCUCCCCAAGGACACCUGUGAGACAAAGUCAGAAGUGGCUUCCCUGGUGACCCAGAGAGACCACAGGGCUCUUGCCGCUGCUUCCUCUACUCCCGUAUUUUGCCGAGCUCUCUAAAUUGUCUCAGCUCUAGCCUGAAUCUAUGGUUUCAUGGAGAGCUCCCUAAAAUCUGUUGACAGAGGAAGAGAAGACUUGAACCUGGUUUACAGAUGGUACUGCACAAUAUGCAGGAACCACAUGAAAGCAGGCAGUUGAAGCACUGCAGCCUCUCUCUGGGACAUCUCCUAAGAAAAAUGAGGGAGCAUCCUCCCAUCCUCCAGAUUUCUGACCUUGGAUAAGUAGAGAAUGUCACUUGCUGACAGGUCCAGGAACCCUAAGUUAUUUGGGAAACUCAAGUGAGGAAUUUUACCCAAUUUAUACCAAUAUCUGCAGUCACAGAUAAGUCCUUGUCUGGGCUUGAGGUUUUAAGAUGUCUAAUCUGAGAUUCCUUAUGACAAAAUAUGUUGUAGCAAAGCCAAUUUAAAAAGGAGCCUAUAUGGCAAAUAAUUAUUCUUACUUCACUUUAUGCAUGUAAUCAGGCC
rnacentral:lncRNA from 1 species